CAGUAGCCGCGGUAACACGAAGGGGGCUAGCGUUGUUCGGAAUCACUGGGCGUAAAGGGUGCGUAGGCGGGAUCUUAAGUCAGGGGUGAAAUCCCGAGGCUCAACCUCGGAACUGCCUUUGAUACUGGGGUCCUUGAGUCCGGAAGAGGUGAGUGGAACUGCGAGUGUAGAGGUGAAAUUCGUAGAUAUUCGCAAGAACACCGGUGGCGAAGGCGGCUCACUGGUCUGUAACUGACGCUGAGACGCGAAAGCCAGGGGAGCGAACGGGAUUAGAUACCCCAGUAGUCCCUGUCUCUUAUAA
rnacentral:rRNA from 1 species